CAGGAUAAAAUAAGAAAUCCUCAGAGUGACAACAUGCUGUGUAUUUCGCAAGCCUCAUCUACAGACAUUCACAGGACUCUCACUUUGUAGACUGGUCUCUGAUGUUAGCUUUAUUAUGGAGUCUUUAUAAAACAGCCACAGAAGCCAAAUCCACAUCAUAGUUUGGAUACUAAGGAUCUCCUUGGGCCAUGGAACAAUUACCACCAAGGCCCAAGCAAGGUUGGAGUUGAUCCCUUUAGGUCAACAGCCCAAGGAAAUGAUAAGCUGAAUUUAUGGUGGUACAUUCAUCCUUGAUUCAGAUAUGAACACAAUAUAAUUUCAAGUCUACUUGAUGGAACUACUUUUCUACAGAGAAAAAU